rnacentral:tRNA from 1 species
GGUUGUGGCUCAGUGGUAGAGCGCUCGCCUAGCAUGAGUGAGGUAUUGGGUUCGAUCCUCAGCACCA